UUUGAUCGGUUUUUCAAUUCU
ensembl:piRNA 21ur-7211 ncRNA